GUUUUCAAUAAGAGCCAAUAUCUUACCAAAGAAGCCCGAGCUCAGGUGGCCAAAACCAUCGGUGUUUUGGACAACACCGUGGACGUGUGGUUCAGGAACCAACGAAGUAAAAUCAAACGAAGAAACAAGCAGAAGGAACGUUCAUUGGUGCAAUCCGAUUCGUCGACCACGAUGACAAUCGAGUUGACAAUUGUCGUGGACAGUGAUGAAAGUUAGUUGUUCUAAUGACACUUUGCCUCGAGCCUCGAGUAACGUGGAGCGAUGGCAAACUCGAAAACCUUUUGAUUUUAGUUAUGGUGAGACCAAAUGAAUACACUUUUGUUCUCAAGGGUAUUCGCAAGCAAGCCAAUAAAAGAAUUUGGUUAAAAAGCAA